rfam:Clostridiales bacterium Nov_37_41 Ley3_66761_scaffold_7124, whole genome shotgun sequence.
AUAAUGAUACUUCCAGAAAAAAUCUGGUCAUAUUUAAUGACGGUGCAAAACCGAUGU